GACUCAGAACCACCUGUCACCCUAGGCGACAGUCCAGCUGGCCGUUGAUCGGUUGUCCCCGUAAUGCUUCUCUAAGGCCGCUUGCCCUUAAAGGAGCAGACCGGGACGCGUAGGUGCGGCGGGCGUCGGGGUCCCCGGCCGGAAACGCCCCUUGAGAGAAGAUCUCCUGUGCCAAUUGGCUGUCCUGACAAAUUGGGGGCGGUGAUUGGACUAGGAAGGAGGUGGCUCCAGACCCGAAUGUGUCGCCAUGGCGGCGCCUGACCUGCGAGCGGAGCUAGACUCACUUCUCCUACAGCUGCUUGGGGACCUGGAGGAGCUGGAGGGGAAGCGAGCGGUGUUGAACGCCCGGGUGGAGGAGGGCUGGCUCUCACUGGCCAAGGCUCGCUACGCGAUGGGCGCCAAGUCGGUGGGGCCCCUGCAGUAUGCUUCCCACAUGGAGCCCCAGGUCUGCCUCCACACCAGCGAGGCCCAGGAGGGACUCCAGAAGUUCAAGGUGGUGAGAGCUGGCGUCCACACCCCGGAGGAGGUGGGGCCUGGCGAAGCAGCCUUUCUUUCCUCAGCUCUGCGCAGGCGCAAGGGCCCCGCUAAGACCCCAGAGCCACAGUCUUCUGAGGCCCCUCAGGACCCCCUGAACUGGUUUGGAAUCCUGGUUCCUCACAGUCUACGCCAGGCUCAAGCAAGUUUCCGGGAUGGUGAGUGCACCCUGCCAUUUGGCUGUGUGGCCCUGGGCUAAAUUCAGACCCUCUAUCCACAGGAAGUACUUGCACACUGCUGCCAUGACUUCGGUUAGUCUCUGAAAGUCUUUGCAGGUUUUUUUUCCAUUGCAAACUUCUGUUGUAUACCCAUUGUUUUUUUCCAAAAAGCAUUUACUGGCUGUUGGCCACAUUCAGGUUCAUGCUAGCUGCGGGGGUUAAACAGCAGGGAACAAAAGAGACAAACACCUUUCAUGUAAUGUUUAGGAGCAGAGAAAGGCAAUGUGCAAAUAAGUAAGUAGGCCCUUAACCUAAGUCAGGCUGUGAAAAUUGUUAUGAAAAACACAGAAUGGAGUGGGACAGGUGAGGUCUCUCUGAAGUGGUGAAGGAAAAGCUUUGGGGGUGAUUUUGGGGAACAGUGCUCUAGAUGGAGGGACCAGUCAGGAUGAAAGCCUUGAAGCCAGAUAGAUCUGGUGUGUGCCGCAACCAGUGGGCUAGAGUGGAGUCAGGUGAUGUAGGCCCGGAUGAAGACUUUGGGAGCCACAGGGAGGCCCUGAGCAGAGGAUGGUGCAACCGGAUGCACAGGGUCACAGGAAUCCUUGGGUGCUGAGUGGGGACACAGAGCAGAGGGAGGAAGCAGGGGUCAGGGAGCAGCCAGGGUGAGAUGCCGGUAGAGUCACCGGAGGAGAGGGUAAGUGGUGGGAACCUGCACAGGUUUUAAGAGUAGAAACCCCGGAAUUUACUGACAGAUAAGGUGGAAGUAAGGGAAGGAAAGGAGAGUCCAGGAGAGCCAGCGGUCUCCGCCCCAGAACCCCUGGGAGAAUGAAGCGACCCUCACCUGCUGUGGGCAGCUGAAGAUGUGGUGGAAGGCAGGAGUCGAUGUGGUCCGUGUGGUGUCCACCAAAGCCCUGCUGGAGAGUUUGAGUGGGCAUUUGGGCACUUGGGCACAUAAAUCUGGAGUCUUGGAGAGGCCUGGGCUGGAGAGAGAUUUGGGAGUCCACUGCAUAGCACUGUUGUUAAAAUUUCAAAGAUGUUGACACAAACAGUGAUUUAAAGCUGAGACAGGAUGAGAUCAGAAGAGGGCCUGGGGAGUAUGGAUGGGAGAUGAGGGAGAGGAGGGGAGAAGCCAGUCAAGGAAACGGAGGAGCAACACGCGGGGGCAGGUGUCCUGGAGGCCAAGAAGAGAGAGUAUUUCCUGGAAGAGUGGUCAGCCCUGCUGCUGAACAGGAGGCUGAAGACUGAGGGCUGCCGGAGGCCUGGGCAGCAGCUGUUCCAGAGAGACAUCAGGCAUAAGCCACCCAGAGGUGGACCCAGAGUAUGGACGACUCUUGGGGCAAAGAAAAGAACUGGAGGGAGAGCAGGCCUGCAGCUGGCUGCAGACAUAGCCAGCCUUCAGAACCGCAUCGACUGGGGUCGAAACCAGAUCCG